rnacentral:rRNA from 1 species
GAUGAACGCUGGCGGCGUGCCUAAUACAUGCAAGUCGAGCGAACAGACGAGGAGCUUGCUCCUCUGACGUUAGCGGCGGACGGGUGAGUAACACGUGGAUAACCUACCUAUAAGACUGGGAUAACUUCGGGAAACCGGAGCUAAUACCGGAGAAUAUAUUGAACCGCAUGGUUCAAUAGUGAAAGACGGUUUUGCUGUCACUUAUAGAUGGAUCCGCGCCGCAUUAGCUAGUUGGUAAGGUAACGGCUUACCAAGGCAACGAUGCGUAGCCGACCGGAGGGGGUGAUCGGCCACACUGGAACUUAGACACGGUCCAGACUCCUACGGGAGGCAGCAGUAGGGAAUCUUCCGCAAUGGGCGAAAGCCUGACGGAGCAACGCCGCGUGAGUGAUGAAGGUCUUCGGAUCGUAAAACUCUGUUAUUAGGGAAGAACAAAUGUGUAAGUAACUAUGCACGUCUUGACGGUACCUAAUCAGAAAGCCACGGCUAACUACGUG